GUAAGAAGGGAUGCUUUGUGUGUGUGAGUGUGUAGCUACGUAGUGCAUUUCACCUACCCCCCCCCACCUCACCCUUCACGCGUGCGCUGUCCUGCUGCGUGUGUGUGUGAGAGAGCGUUUGUUAUGGGGGGUACUUGUUUUGUCCCCUUUCCUGUUCGUCUUCCUGUCACUGGAAUUGGUGUUGAUGUGUCCUGUGUGUGUCACUGCCAACGUGCUUGUGUGUGUGUGGCCAACAUUUGAGAAAGCAAAAACGAUAUACAUCAACUUGGUGCACGUGUCUGCGCGCCGCUGUCCGUGUGUAGUCCUUCCGCUCCUCCUCUUCUUGGGCUACUCAGCGGCGUUUCUACUUCUUUUCAACCCUUUCGUUCUCCCUCGCCCCCCCCCUCCGCGCUUCACGCACGUUCUCUGUCUUUUGUUUUGGCUGUUUUUCGAAUUUGUAAAGGCACUUUGGUUGUCUUUGCGAGGUCGUUCUCUCUCUCUCUCUCGCCGCGUUUGUGCCUCGUGUGUGGUGUAUGAACGCUGAGUGUGGCCCUCCUGUUGCCUUCUUGAUCUCUCGCUUUUAGCCUUUUCUUCUUGUUUUUUUUUUGGUACGGCGCUUCUCCCCUCCCCCUUCCUUCCAGCCUCAGCGAAGCUCACACACACGCGCACACACGGCGUCUGCUGCAUUGUCUUUGUCCCGCCUUCCCUCCACUCUCGCUCUUUCCCUUCUUUAGCUUCGUCUGGUCUCAUUCGUUGCUUCUUUGCGUUUUGCUCUCUCCCUCUUUCAUUUCCUGUUGUGUGUCUUCCUUCCACUCUUCCCCCUCCCCUCCGUCUACGUCUCCUCCACACAAGCGCGCACACCUGUUAUCAUUCAGUGUUGGCCCGCCCUUCUUCGACGUCGAUCUUCCCACACGCACCGCUCCGCGGCAACCGCCUCCAUCAUAGCAGAGGCUGUCCUCGGGUAGGCUCGGAAGCAAGUCAGUCUACUUUUCGUUCUCCUUGUACCUGUUUGUUUUCCCGUCUUUGCACCUUUCUUUUUUUGUUUGUUUCCUGUUGUCGUCUUCGUUUGUGUUGUGUACUGUUUCGCCCGUGUUGCACCGUCGCAAUAGUGGAGUAGGGAUCGUUUUUUUUUUGUUUGUUUUCAUUCGUUGUUUCUUCUUUUUCUCAAUAGUGUGGUCCUUGUCAGGCUACGCGUUUCUCUAUCUGGUGCGGUGAUACGCCCUUCUGUGCGCACUCGCGUUACAUGUUGGUCGCCGUUUUUUUUUUGUUUGCUUUGUUUUCGUUUUCGUUUUGAUUUGCUUUUUUUCGCCUUGUGUGUUGUGUGACUUUCUUGUCUGUCACGGCCGGCGACUCCCACUCUGUAUCCACUCCGCUUCUGCUUCGUUCUUCUUUGGUGUACGUGCAGUACCCGCUCGCCCUUCGCCUCUUCCUUCCUUUUGCUCUCUGCUUCUGGCACAUCAGAGAGGAGGACGAACGCCGAUCCGCAGCAGAAGAGAGCGAGCCAGUCAGAGGUCUACGGCACAUCAACGAACACAAAGAACAAAUUUCAAGCAGCCCCUAUAUCCCUGUUUUACUUGGGACGCUGUAUUUUCGACCCAAUCGCGCCCUUUACAGGGGGGGACCAUCUAGCCCCUACCCCUGACUCUCCUCUUGGCUCUCUCUCUGGUUCGGUAUCUCUCUGCUUGUUGUUGACAGGGACCAGUCACGCCCUGCAGUACCUACCAACACCAGCGUGCGACGCUUCGCUCUUCUUUCUUUUUGUCCUUCUUCUGUUCACUAAAAUUUUUUAUCCGAGUUUGAAUAGGCGUGCGCCCUCUUCCCUUUCUCAUCGCCGCCUAUACAGAACUCGAACGCCUUCGUGGAGGACCGCUCGCAGAGAAGGUUUGAGGUGUCGGUGUCGUGGUUGCUUUUGUUGAGGCAGCACCUCAUCUGUCUCCCUCUCUUUUUUACUCUUACGCCUGCACGGUAUUGUCAGUGACGCCACGCGCGACAGAGCUGCGCCAUCACGGACUGGUCAUCUCGUACCCUGCAAGAUCAACACUCGAAUAGAAACAAAAAAGGAAGCAACUGUUUCGUUCUCUCAACGCAGCAUCGCCAUGUUGAGCUUCAAGAGCAUCGCCGGGUUCCUGAAGAAGGUGGGCGGUACGCGCGAGGACCAUAGCAAAGAGGGCCAUCAGAGAGGUGGCGCUGAUGGAAGUCAUGCUGGGGCUGGCAGCAGCGGCAGCACAUCCGCUUUUGCAACUGGCUCAGCAGCGACCGGUGGCGCAGGUGAUGGCGCACAUCACCGCUCAUACAUAGGAAGCAGCCGCACUGCCUUCACAGGCAGCGCAGGUGCGGUGGCGGCGUCGCACCAUGGGGACGCGGCUCACGAUUCGCACUUGAGCGACUUCCCCACAUCAGGGAUGCCGUCUACCUUUGGCGAUAACGUGAUGUUCGCGUCCUCGCACAUUCUGAGAGGGCUCCCACCGAACACAAGCAUGCAAGACGUGCUGCUGCAUAUUCGAUGUGUCGUGCAGGAGCGCAGCGAGCAGCUGCAGCAAGAGGAGCGAGAGGAGCAAGAGCGCCCCUCAACCUCGUGGCAGCGCGGCCUCAGUGAUGGCAGCAUCGCUGCUGGUGAGAACGCCACCGCAGCAGGAGCGCAGAGACGAAGGAGCGCUUCGUUUACAUCCGUGGCCGCCACCAAUGGCGCCGAAGCGCGCGCAGCUCCAUGUGAGAACGCCAGCCCUGCGGCUUCUCUGAAGGGAAAAGCAGACAAAGGGGCUGCGGGAGUGGCGCGGGAGCACGUGCAGAGGCUACAGAAGAUGCGAGCGGAGAUGAUCGAUGCGCUGGAUUUGUGCUUGCAGGAAGUUCCGGAGGACCCGCGCACGUGGGGCGGCAGUAGCAGCGCCGGUGUUUCCGAGGACGAGCGUGCGCGGAACGGCAAGACCGGCGCAGAUGCGCACAGGCAGCAGGAGCGCUCCAGUGGCACGCCGGACACCGUGGCAGACAACAGCGGCGAAGCAUUGCUUGAGGGCAUGAGGACGGAGUCGGAGCUCGUCGUAUCGCGACAGGAGUCAUCCACUGCCGCUACCCUACUAGGCGCGGCUGAGCCGUCUCCCGUGAUAGCGCAGGAGCCUUUGGCCCCUGCUGACUUUGGCCACUACGAGUGGCGGCGGCUUCUCAUGGAUAUCAUCAACGUAUUGGUGCGCAUUGACCGAGCUCUCCUUCACGAUGCACGUCUCCGCGCACUCGAACGGCUCAUCCCUAGCACCACAGGCUCGUACGGCAACGCUGGGCCGGAGUUCCGGUGGGAGAACCUCUCGCAAGUCCUCCUCACUCCUGCUGUCUUGGGGUCCCCCUUCAGCGCCGCAGAUGCGGCGGUGAGUGGUUCACGUCGAAGUCAGCUUCCCCUCACACCCACCCGCGGUCCUCAGCGACACCCACCGCACGGAGACACGGCGCCGUUGAACUCGCCUCUUCCUAAUCGGAAUGCGGACACUGCCGCGUUAGCAGGAAUAGCAACUCCGCGCGAGAGGGCCGUCACACCAGUGGCCACCGCCACCACCGCUGCCAGAGCGGGCUCCACCUCCUCACCCUUUGGCAAGGCCAAGCGAGCACUGGCGGAUAGCGGCGUCGUGUCGCCUGAGCCGCCAGCGGACCUCUUUAUCACGAAGGAAGACAAGAAGAUGCUGGAGGAGCUCCUCACCAUCGCGUGCUCCCUUGCCAGCUGGGCGAUCGUCAAGGCGAUCUUGCGCCAUCACCUGCACGUACUGGAGCAGCGAAAGAGCCGCGGCAGCUUCACACCUUUGUCCAAGGCAGCCACCACCGCCACGGCUAGCGUGCGUAUCAGUGUGGAUACCCCUGCGUUGGCAACAAACAUGGAAACGUCAGGGGCUAGCAACACAAACACCACCGGGCGACCGCCACUUGCUCCUCCUGCCCCGCCUCCACCAGCGGCGAUGAAUGAUGCUGCCUGCUCCAGCAAUGCUGCGGAAGGCGGAGCCGGCGCUGCAGAAACAGCAGCGACAGACGACGACCGAAGCAAGAACGCGAAUCACAUUAGUGCGAUGGAUGACGUGGAUGCGAUUCCAUACAUUGACUGGGCGGCUGUAGUGCAGGAGCUGGCGGAGUGGAUCGGCGAGCAGCACGUUGUUGCGAUUGCGGAGUGCAUCCUCUGCGCGAGCUUCUUGCGCGAUGACGGGCGCGAGAUGGUGCUGUGCAUGUUGCAGACCCCGAAGCCGCGGCGGCUGCUCACGAACAUUCACCGGCACGCCGACAAGCUGCGCCGUGCUGACGUGGACUCGCUUCUCAGCUGCUCGUCGCCUCCGCGAGUGGUGACCGCAGCAACGGCGCCGGUAGGCAGCCCCACCGCUGCUGCCACAGCCUUCUCCGGAUCGGCCCCGGCAGCCACAUCCAGUGCACUGACGAGUAGCGGGGCGCCAUCGACGAGCAGCAGCAACGGCGCAGCGGCUGCAGCACCGCCCGCGGGUACCUCCGCAAACACCGCUCCAACGGCAGCGGCUAUGGGAGCCGCGUCUUUCCUCCCAGCCGCCAAGAUAGGCGCUGCCGCCCCCGCCGCAGGGCCCUCAUUGACGCCUAACACGGUUCGGGCGAUGUUGGAGGAUCCCACGCUGGUGAUGGACGACCUUGUUGCGCGGCUAGAAAUGGUAUACCGCAAAGCUGUCGCGAACACAUGGGCGUCCUACCUAGAAGACGCGAUCGAGGCGGAUGUCCAGCAGCUCCCCACCGCUGCUGGCAACGCCGUCGACGCAGCAGGCACUCCCGCUGUGGGCGACCCCGACACGUCCCCGGCCUCUACCCCAACGACCCACCUAGUGGCGGCAGGCGAUGAGGUGCUGAAGCAGAGCACUGGAAGCGUGGCGUCACCGCCGGCGCUCCCGCUGCUGCAGCAGGUGCACAUCACAGACACCAAGACCCUCUGUCGCCUAGCCACUGCCUUCUUCUUUGGCUCUGAUGCGUGGUCAGAGAACAAGCGGGAGCGCCGCUUCGCGCUACUCUUUCGCAGCAUGCGUGGGAGGAUGGAGCGGUACAGCGAGUCCGCCGCGACGCGGCGGCACUUGCGUCGUGGAACGAUCUGUGCCGCCUCCAUGACACACAUGGUUGCAUCUGCUGCCGCGGCAAGCUCUCUCGAUUCUCACCCUCUCGUCGAGCUCGCCAUGGCUGGAGCUGCCGCGGCAACAACCGCGCCAAGCAGCAGAGGCGCCUCGCAAUCGCAAAGCCUCACAAUCCCACCUCAGAUGAGCGCAGCCGCCGCCCCUGUUUCCAGUGCUUCGGCGGCCCUGACGCCAUCAAAGUUUAGCGUGGAGGACACGUCCGCAAGGCCGUCGCCGUCUGGAGGGUGCCCGUCAGCCGCGAGCAACGCGGCUGGCGUCGGCACUUCCGCCUUUGCGAGUCGUGGCGUGGCGCUGUCCAACCAAUGGGCUGCGCACCAGCUUCUUUCAUCGAAUGCGAGCACCGCUGCCAUCUCGGCCCACAGCACGCCGCUCACCACCUCGCUCCUUGUCAGCCGCGACGGGACCAACGAUAUGGAGGGGACGGUGUCGGGAGCAGGGGGGGCCAUCAAUGGAUCUGGUCUCUUUACUGUGGGACACGCGGAUCGGACAACGACGUGGACACCAUUUGCCUUCGCGAUGACCUCCUCAGAGCCCAUGACCCCGCCGCCGGAGCUGCAUCACCCGAGCUCCAGCACCACGAACCAGAGGGGCGCCGAAGACGGGCACCAGGAGGCGGGCGAGGACAACGUCGGCAGACGCGCCAUGGAGUCCAGUGCCUUAUCCAUGCCGACGGUCACCCUGCAGGGGUCUCCCAACCUUGCGCAGCCCGCAGCCUCCAAGGGCGGGGACAGCGCACUGGAGUCCUUGGUGCUCGAGCGAAUUGUGAACAUGUCUUGGUCGGCGGCGCUGCACAAGCGGGGCGAGCAGUGCUUGACUGCGAAGCCGCCGCGCCUAGAGGAAGCGGAGCAGGACGCACUGGAGGAGCGCCUCGUCGCAAGCGCCUUUGGCGAGUUCCGUGCGCGCCAGCGCUCCAUCGUCUCCCUCAUCAACGCGCGUUUGGCGUCGGGCAAGUCGGUGGAGGCGCUGACUAACGCGCAGAAGCACUUCAAGUUCGAGAAGAAAGACUGGACAAGUCACAAUCAAACAAUCUUCUCCGCGAUGCGAUACCUGCAAUCAAUGGUGUUUCUCGUGCGGGCCCAAGCCGCGUGUCGCGUCUACGGCGCCGUCAUUGAAACAGUUCAGUUUGUACUGCCGCAAGCCGCCCUGUGCGAGCAGAUGCUGCAGGUGCUGGCACCUCGACCGCGAGGCGACUACAUCCUCCGCUUCGGCGACUGUCGGUCAAAGCUGCUUCGGUCUUACGUGUAUCUGCUGAAGGAAGGCUGGCUGGCGCACGCCGCCUUCAACGACUUGGCAAAGGCGGAGAAGUACUUCAUCAAAUGUGCGCAGGUGAUGCAAAUGCUGCGCCGCCGCGUGCGGGAGACGGAGUUGUUUGCCGCCUACAUGGAGCGCGGCGCGCAGUUGAUGAAGCUGAAGGAGUACAAGCAGUCGGUGGAGCUCUUUCGGUGCGCUGUGAACAUCGCCAAGAAGUCUUUGCAAGCGGCCGAUGCAGCAGCAGCGGCGAGCGCAAGCGGCGACAGCGGCGCCUUCAGCCCAAACGCCUCUGUCGGCUCCUCUGGGUUGUCGCUUGGCUCAGCUAUUACCAACAUAGAGAACGCGGUGUCUGCUGCGGCCGCCGGACUUGCUGCGAAGGUGCCACCGGCGACGACGCAGCAGCAGUUUCACCGCAAUCUGCACCUACGCGCUGCCGGCUCCGGCAGCCUCACCACGGCCGAGGAGCACAUCCCCGGUGUAACGGAUGCCAUUGAGGAUGACCUGGAACUAGUCUGGCGCGUUGCAGAGAGCGAGCGCAUGCUGGCGCUGUCCUACGUCACCCAAGCCGAGCAUGAGGUGAACGUGCGAGAGCGCCGUGAGGAGCUUAGCAACGCCGUGAGCAGCGCAUACAGCUCGCAGCGGUCGCUGCAGCGGUGGCAAAGGAAGGGCGGAACACCGAAGCGAUUGCUGACCGCAGUGCCGUGCAGCCUCAUCGUUAUUUGCAAAGGGCUGCUGCUGCUGAACCAGCCGCGCAAAGCCGCCCUGCUGCUCGAGCCGCUUAUCGAGAACAAGCCGAACUCGGCACUGGUGCGGCCUCCCAUGUGGGGAGAAAUCCUGCACCCGACAGAGGACCCCUACACAACAGAGGACGUGGUCCUGCGCACGUACGUGAACUCUGUAAAGAUCGCCGUCUUCAUGCUGUACGCGCGGUGCCUGGCGGAGUUCGAUGGUGACCGGGCCCUCCGUGCCGUCACGCUGGUUGAUCAGCUGCUCCAGGAGAGUGACGCCUGGAUCUGCACUAUCCGCACCGAGCUCCGCCGCGCACUGGAGAACGUGAGCGCCAAGGACAAAAAAGUGGCCGACUCGCUGAACUCGCCACGAACGGCCCCGAGCAUCGAGGCACUGCGGCGCACCAGUGUUGCCUCGCCGCGCGGUGCUGCGGAGCACGGCCCGAACAGCGAGGAUGGCGAGGACGGGCAAAGCUGCGGGCGACAGGGCGGCGGCGCUGGCGCAGAGACCACCGCCUCCGCCUCCGCCUCCACUGCCGCCACGACGGCUGGCAAAUACACGGCUCGCACGAUUGAGGUGCCGACUCUGCAGAUGCCAACCAGCCAUUCCUCUACUGGGUCGCCGUCGCCGCUCGAUGACGACCGCCACAGCCCGGGGUGGAACUCACCGGAAGAAGCACCACUGCGGCCGCGGCCUUCGACAACCGUGGGAACUGCAGGCGCGGCUUCCACCACCGCCGUCGAAGCCGGUUUCUUGCACGACGAACCGUCGCCGGGCGGUAGCGGUAGCGGCGCCGGUGGUGCCGCGAUGGAUGAUGAUGACCGAAGCCGUCGCAGCACCUCCAUCCAGCUCAGCGCCGCUGGUGGCAACCGCAGCGGGACGGAUUUGUUCUCCUUGGUAAACAGCGUGAAUGCAGGCAUUUCGAGUACCACGGCGAUGCCGACCGCACACAGCAGCCACAGUCCCAGCUCCGCCGCCCCACAUUUGGCACAGCUGCCGGCGAUUCGAGUACACACAGAGAGCUCGAGCGAGUGCAUGACAGCACUUUUUGCCCUUCGUGAGGCCAAGUCGCACAUCCGCAAAGCGCUUCGCGGCAUCUUCAUCGUCAGCGGCGAUGCGUAUUCCCUCAUCAAGAACUGGGAGGAGGCGCUGAAGGUCUACUCGCAUGCCCUCGUCAUCACCAUGAGUGAGGUCGAAGCCGCCAGCGCGGCCGCGCAGUCGCGCCGCCGCGUCAGCCACAGCACCGCACAAGCUCGCUUUUCAUCGCAACAGUCGUCGACGAGCCCGGUCGCCGUGGACGAUGGCGCGUCGCUGUCCGCUCCCCACGACGUCUACGAGACUUUCCGCAGCAACGUCGGUGAUGACGUCAGUACCUCCCUGCAAGCCUGGGGCCCAGUUGUCCCCCUGGACGAGGAGUUCUUCCUGUGGGAUGAGGAGGACGUGCUCAUGUCCGACAACCUCAUCAACCGCGAGCUUACGGCGUCCACGGCAGCGAGGGAUCUUCGGGCAGCGGUGGCUGACGAGGAGCGCAUGGAUUCGCGCGCGUGCGAGAGCGUCGUGCUCAGUAAACUGGCGAACGUGUACCGUGCCCUCGAAAAGCCUGCCACGGCGAUUCACUACCACACCCUGGUCAUGGAGUACGCCAACGAGUGCCACGACAAGUUGCUGGCCUACAACUCUAUGCUGAGCCUUGCUCGGCUGUACACCGCAGCGAACAUGAGCGACAAGGCACGCGACGCGUGGGCAAAGGUGAGUGAGCUGGCAAAGGAGUACGAGGACAAGGAAGUCAGUCGGGAGACGAUGCGCAACAUCGUGGCGGCACAGGAAGCCGCUGGCAUGUAUAUGGACGUGGUGAAGACGGCGGAGGAGCUGGAGAAGCUGGCCACCGGCGAGGAGGGCGAAGACGCCGCCAGAGAUAGCCGCUUUGCCCUCGAGGCGCUGGCAAACGCGAAUCUGCAGCUGGGUCAGUUCGACGCUUGCAUCGCCGCCCUCGACAGCCGUGAAAAGGUGCAGGAGAAGUCGGCGGAGUGGAGCGGCGCGCUGCUGAGCAUGCGGGCCAAGGCACGAAUGGGCCUGAACAAGUCGGCGGAAGCGAUCAAGGUGAUGCAGAGCUGGGCCACCAAGGCACGCAAUCUCGCCAACUGGGUGGAGCUCGGCAAGGCGAACUCGGCGCUCUCUGCAGCGUAUGCCUCGGAGAAUCACAACAUGCAGGCGCGUUGCCACCACGAGGCCACGCUGAACGCCUUUGCCCUGGCCGAAACGCUCGACGAGGAGUGCCGCCACAUUGCACUGGAGAGCGCGCGGUGGUUGGUGCACUACGCGUACCUCAACGACACCACGGUGCAGGUCGACCCUACGCUCACGUACACCGGCGGUGGUCUCACGAGCGACUCGGAGGCGAGCGGCUGUGAUUUCCACUACGCAGAUAGCGGCCUGUGCAACAUCAGCGGCGACCUUGGGGUGAUGCUCGCCAGGGAGGAAGAGCUGCGCCGCACAUCCUCGAUGCUUGGAGAAAACUGCAAGUUCGGCUUCAACGAUGACGACGACGAUUUUGGUGGUGGUGGUGGUUUCCUAUCGAAUCAGAGCAUGUUCGGCGUACGUCCCGCCGGGCCGUCGCUUGCCGAUGCGCCCUCGCCGAAGGGCCACAGCAUGUUGGAGAAGGAGGAACAGCGUGACGAUUACGCUCCAGCGCACGGGGAGGAGGAUGGCGGCGAGGGAGCAGCCGCAGCAGCUGACAACACACCGUCUAUGACGUCCUCCUUCAUCUCUUCAUUCCUGGCGCCAAAGGAUUCGGGCAUGGCGACGCAGCCGCCCUCGCUAGCAUCCAGCGUCAACAUCUCGAUGCGAGGGUCCCUGACCCAGCUGGACGGCGCCCUGGUCGGCGGCAACGAUCACAGCGAAGGCAGCAGCAGCGCAGGACAGUCGGACGGCGGCGACAACGAAGCUGGCGAAGACGUGGAAGACGAAGCGCCCCGCUCUAUGGAUGUGGAACACGUUGCAGAACACCACCAAGACCCUAAGCUGCCGGUAAGCGUCGAGGGCGAGGAGGCCGGUGACUUGGUGAAUCUAAAGAAGCCGGCACCGAAGCCGAGCCCAGCGGCACCGACGCCAACCGUCAUCACUGCGGCUGUCAAACCUACCGUGAACACUGCAACAGUGGCCGGCAGCGGCGCAACGGUCGGCAAGUCCGCCUCCAGCACCUACGUGCCGCCGCCAACGAGUCUCGCCAAUGUCUCUAUCUGCAGCCGCCCGGCAGCCGCCGCCGCAGGCACCGAUGUCUUGGAGCUGCCGGUAGACGCCAGCCGCUCCGCCUCCGAGCACGCGACACUCUCAGGCCCCAGCACCACCAGCUCCCCUUUGAUGAGCAGCUCUCCACGCGGAGCAGCCUUUCAAGGUGGACCAGCCGCAGCCGCCAGCGGUGGGGAUGAUGACGGUGCUCCAGAGCGCAAGCCCUCGACAGUGCGCACGACGUACUUUCGAGGCGCCAUUGAGAUGAUUGAGACGGCAGCUCAGCUGCUUCUCGUGCCUCGCAGCGUGCGCCACAUUGUCAUUCCGUAUAGUCCAGCCGAGGCCGUUGACUUCGCCCUACUCGCCCAUCCGCAGUCCCUCUUCGUCUUCUACUUUGCCGAGUACACAACCGAGUACGGGGCCCAGUGUGACGUGGUUGUCCGUCCUCCACGCGCCGCCGGCUUCAUGAAGUUGCGGGCGCAGAUAUCCCUCCAGCAGUACCACAACAAAGACGCGAUGAGCACACUGCUGGCGUCAACCUCAGCUGAGUUUUCCAUAACGGGGGAACACGGCAACGCUGCAGAGACUGCCGGUGCCGCCUCGUCAUCCACACACCCCUUCGGGACAGUUAUGGCGCGCGCCGCAACGGGUAGCUCGGUUGCGAGUCCACCCCUCAGCAACUCAACGCCAGACGUGUUGCGCGCUGCCUUGGAGGAGGAGACAUCGACGUGCCUGCGCAAUCUCUACGCGGAUGCCUGGCAGCCCAUCGCAGAUCGCAUGCGCCGCGAGCACGUAAGCUACCAAGACGCCGAGGAACUCAUUAUAAUGCCGGAUGUGUCCCUCAUGCACCUGCCUUUUGCCGGCUUCUUGCCAUCGCCCAACUACGGCGACGAGGAGACGCCACUUGGCGAGCAGUUCACGCUGAUUGUGACGCCAUGUCUGACCCACUUCGUGCACCAUGGCAUGACACAUCAGCCGCAGCGCUUGCGCAACACAAGUGGGGCCCUGGACCCGGCGGCCAAGAAGUACAUCUUCUUGCCCUACGACGGUAGUGUCGGCGCGGGUUCCGCGGCGCCGUCUGCUCCGCUCGCAAUGCCGACCUUCGCGCUGUGCGCGCCGUCGUCGUCGAGCACACGGCCGCAGCAACAGCCGAAGACCGGCGCUGGCACGGCCGCAAAUUCUGCUACUAGUGCACUAACAGCUACGGUGGACUCCGCCGCCAGCAAGGCGUCGGCGCACAACGCUGUCACACCUCCUGUCUCCUCUGCACACUCCCUGGCAGACUCUUUGCCCACUGGACAUCCCCUUGCUACCUCUGCGACUGUAGGCAACAUAAGUGUGCGCAGCAACCCUGCGUCGGCUGACACCACGUCGGCUACUCCAAGUGGUGCGCCGCAGCAGAGCGAAAGGGCCGACACCUUUGACGAUUUGCUGCGCACGUGGCGGGUGCACCGCGGGUGCACGCGCAAGGAACUCAUUCAGGCCUUCACGGAUGUGCGCACGCGGGCAUUGAUGUUCCUGGCUCCGGUCGACCAGGGGUUCAUUCGAGUCGCAGACGGAGUUGUGACAAUCCAGGAUCUGACGCAGAAUCUGCAGCAGGUGCGUGUUCAGCAGUCGGCAGCCCAUGUCGCCAGCCCAGCCAACAAUGCCACCGCCUCCUCCACUGGUGCAGCAGCUGCGACUUCGAAUGCCACCUCGCCUGCCACGAGUGUUUCCCCUGGCGCCACCGCGGCAGCGGUGCCCCCCAUCACGUCAGGGACGCCGCCGGCUCUCCCUCUGCCUCCUCUCUGCUCUCACAUCGACCUACUCGUCCUUACCGCCAACCGCAGCCAGUACCCUACGGUCAGCGAUGCUGGUACAUCGGCAAAGUUGUGCAUGGCGCUUGGCGUCAACCGAGUUCUUCGACUCAACAUUCUUCAUGGCUUAUUGCCAAAUGACGAGCACUAUGCCUUUAUCGCACUUUACCUGGCCAAUCUCAAGAAAGUGAUGCGGUGGAUGCUGAAGAACCCGUACGCGGUGGCGCUUCGCACGACUAUGGCUGAAGCGCGGAGGCGGGGCAUGUCCUCCAAUACAUGGGGUGCGUUCACCCUGGUAGGUGCGCCGUGAAUAGCGAGUGGCAGCGUGCAAUCGGAGUCGUACGUGUAUGUGUGUAAUUUGGCCCAGUGAGUGGUGCUCCUAAUUAUGCACCUCCUCUUCUCCGCUAUGCUGCUUUACAUGUCCUAAACAGGCUCAUGUGGAGGCACUUAAACCCCACGAUAGCUGUGCAUCGGCAUUCGUCUGUGUUGGCAUGGCGGAAUUUCCUCUGUUGAACCGAGAAGCGGCGCGCCGCUCUUUCUCUCACACCUUCCUUUUUGUUGUUCUUCCCUUAUCUACCUUGCUCUUUACCUUUUCUUUCCUCGUGUGCGAAUCUGUGUUUGUGCGUGCGUGUGUGUGUGUGUGUGUGUUUGUAGGUGGGUGCAUAUAUUUUUUUUUGUAUGCUUGCGGCUGAGCAGGCGUGGAGACGGCGACGGCCGUUAGCACCCUCGUCAGCGCUACUCCAUCCCCCCUCACCCUUCCUCGCAUCUUCCUUCUUCAUCUUCCUCGAUCACGUCCCUGUUAACUUCGUCUUUGUGUGCUUGGGAGAGGGGAAGGAGUGUUUUGUUGUUGCUGCUGUUGUCCUCCCCUCAUCACCACCGCCACUGCGUGAGUGAUCGUGAGCUGCCGCGAAUCAAUACUGACAACAUUGAAACGCUCUCUUGUCUCCAUGACUUCCUUUUCAUGUCUCGUAUGCUGGGACUGAAAGCUGCUCUCCUUUCUUUUGUCACUAUUCCUGUACUUGUUGUUCGUUGUUCCUGUUAGUGCAACAGCUUGUAGUGUUUUACUCCUGUCUCUGCAUCUAUGUGGGCGUGUGUGUGUGUGUAGGGGGGUGUGUUCGUGACUAAGGUAAGUACGGAGUGUGCUCGAGCGCACGAUCUCUCUUCCCCUUUCUUGUUUUGUCUGUCUUUUUCCCUUGUCCUGGUUGCAAGGACGCAUGUGGCGCGUAUAUCGACAGUAUGCGACCGCCUGCGCCAAUCGCACACGUGUGAGUGUGUGUGUGUGUGUGUGUCUCUGUGUUUUGGUGCAGUUGGUGCUGCUGUUGCUCUUUUUGGUGGGCCAGUAUUCGCGAUGAUGUAUUCUCUGCACAAUGAUUCCACUUGUCUCUCACUCGCGCUCACGUGGGCAUCCUUUCGAUCUUCUCAAUGUGUGUCGAAGGACAGGCAGAUUUUUCGCUUCUCAGGCGAGAGCCCAUUGCCAUCGGUGAAUCGUCCACGUAAAAAGAAACUACAAAUAUAUAUUAUGAAGAGCCUGCGCAUCCCCUUC
rnacentral:misc_RNA from 1 species